UACGUAGGGUGCGAGCGUUAAUCGGAAUUACUGGGCGUAAAGCGUGCGCAGGCGGUUCGUUGUGUCGGUGGUGAAAGCCCCGGGCUUAACCUGGGAAUGGCCAUGGAAACUGGCGAACUGGAGUGUGGCAGAGGGGGGUGGAAUUCCGCGUGUAGCAGUGAAAUGCGUAGAUAUGCGGAGGAACUCCGAUGGCGAAGGCAAUCCCCUGGGCCUGCACUGACGCUCAUGCACGAAAGCGUGGGGAGCAAACAGG
rnacentral:rRNA from 1 species